rnacentral:rRNA from 1 species
UACGAAGGGGGCUAGCGUUGCUCGGAAUCACUGGGCGUAAAGGGCGCGUAGGCGGUUCGUACAGUCAGACGUGAAAUUCCUGGGCUCAACCUGGGGGCUGCGUUUGAUACGUGCGGACUUGAGUGCGGAAGAGGGUCGUGGAAUUCCCAGUGUAGAGGUGAAAUUCGUAGAUAUUGGGAAGAACACCGGUGGCGAAGGCGGCGACCUGGUCCGAUACUGACGGCUGAGGCGCGAAAGCGUGGGGAGCAAACAGG